rfam:Schistosoma curassoni strain Dakar, Senegal genome assembly, scaffold: SCTD_scaffold0001910
GCACUGCCGGGGAGUCCCAUACUAGGACGAAACGGCCGUCCAGUGC